CAAGGAUAAGAAACGAAUGGUAACCUGAAACAGUUUUAUCUUUGGAUCAACUAUCCAAGAAGCCUAAACAGCACAACUUGUCCAAUGCCCAGCAAGCACAUGAUAUUUCCUAAUGACUGACUAAUCCGAGCAACAAAUUUGCAAGUUAGUUGAAGAUGUUGCGCUAUGGUUAUGCUGAUAAAUAACGAAAGCUAGAGAGACACGUAUGUAUAUGCGAUAGCAUUAAUCAUGGAUGGAAGAAGAAGAAGACGAAGAAGAAAAGGCAAGAUUUGGCAGGAAAGAAAAUUUGGAGAAGUGCUUUUAAUUUGUGCUCAAGGUUGCUACAGGAAGACGAGAACAUAUAGAAUGAGGAGGAACUGAGACUCCAUAAGGUUGUCCUGCAAUUUUAUUUGAAGCAUAGACAACCCUUGAGCACAUUAUUUAUAAAAUAAUCGGGUCCAAUAUAUAUUAUUUGUUCUCACUUAAAUUUUAUCAAUUAAA